rnacentral:lncRNA from 1 species
AGCACUGCAUGAGCACCCAUAGGUGUUAUGGAGCACCCAUGGGUGCUGUGGGGCACCCGUGGGUGCUGUGGGGUGCCUAUGGGGCUGGGCACUGCAGGAGCACCCGUGGGUGCUGUGGGGCACUUGUAGGUGCUGUGGGGCACCUGUGGGUGCUGUGGGGUGCCUGUGGGGCCAAGCACUGCAUGAGCACCCAUAGGUGCUAUGGGGCACCCAUGGGUGCUAUGGGGAACCCGUGGGUGCUGUGGGGGUGCCUAUGGAGCUGAGCACUGCAGGAGCACCCAUGGGUGCUAUGGGGCACUUGUAGGUGCUGUGGAGUGCCUGUAUGUGCUGUGGGGCACCCAUGGGUGCUGCCCUGACCCUCCUCCUCCUUCUGCUCUUCAGGCGCCUGCGGUGCACCCGUAACUACAUCCACGCCAACCUGUUCCUCUCCUUCGUGCUGCGGGCGGGUGCCAUCCUGACGCGGGACGCGCUGCUGCACCGCCGCCUGCGCCGUGGGGCUGCCGACCCACUGCAGGUUUUGAGCCAGGAGGUGGGUGUCUGUUGGGGGGGGGGAGGGGGGAACGCAUGGUGGGGGGCACCAAAGGUUGGGGUGACCCAUGGCGGGGGGGAACCAAAGUUUGGGGUCAUUAAAGGUUGGGGGUCACCAAGAAUUGAGGCGUUGAGGAGUGGAGGAACUCAAGGGUUGGGGGUCAUCAAGGGUUGGGGGUCACCAAGGGUUGGGGUCACCAAAGACUGGGGGUCACCAAGGGUUGGGGUCACCAAGGGUUGGGGUCAUCACCAAAGACUGGGGGUCACUGAGGGUUGGGGUCACCAAGGGUUUGGGGUCACCAAGAAUUGAGGCGUUGAGGAGUGGAGGAACUCAAGGGUUGGGGGUCACCAAGGGUUGGGGUCACCAAGGGUUGGGGUCACCAAGAGAAGGGGAACCCAAGGUUUGGGGUCACCAAAAGUUGGGGGUCACCAAGGGUUGGGGGUCACCAAAGGUUGGGAGUCACCAAGGGUUGGAGGACACCAAGGGUUGCGGUCACCAAGGGUUGGGGGUCACCAAAG